GGGGAAUAUUGCACAAUGGGGGAAACCCUGAUGCAGCGACGCCGCGUGAAGGAAGAAGUAUCUCGGUAUGUAAACUUCUAUCAGCAGGGAAGAUAGUGACGGUACCUGACUAAGAAGCCCCGGCUAACUACGUGCCAGCAGCCGCGGUAAUACGUAGGGGGCAAGCGUUAUCCGGAUUUACUGGGUGUAAAGGGAGCGUAGACGGACUGGCAAGUCUGAUGUGAAAGGCGGGGGCUCAACCCCUGGACUGCAUUGGAAACUGUUAGUCUUGAGUGCCGGAGAGGUAAGCGGAAUUCCUAGUGUAGCGGUGAAAUGCGUAGAUAUUAGGAGGAACACCAGUGGCGAAGGCGGCUUACUGGACGGUAACUGACGUUGAGGCUCGAAAGCGUGGGGAGCAAAC
rnacentral:rRNA from 1 species